rnacentral:rRNA from 1 species
GAUGAACGCUAGCUACAGGCUUAACACAUGCAAGUCGCGGGGCAGCAUGGGGGUUGCUUGCACUCCCCGAUGGCGACCGGCGCACGGGUGAGUAACGCGUAUCCAACCUGCCCUUCACCACGGGAUAACCCGGCGAAAGUCGGACUAAUACCGUAUGUUGUCCAUUGACGGCAUCCGAUUUGGACGAAAGGUUUGGCGGUGAAGGAUGGGGAUGCGUCCGAUUAGCUGGACGGCGGGGUGACGGCCCACCGUGGCGACGAUCGGUAGGGGUUCUGAGAGGAAGGUCCCCCACACUGGAACUGAGACACGGUCCAGACUCCUACGGGAGGCAGCAGUGAGGAAUAGUGGUCAAUGGGCGUAAGCCUGAACCAGCCAAGUAGCGUGCAGGAUGACGGCCCUAUGGGUUGUAAACUGCUUUUAUGCGGGGAUAAAGUGGCCCACGUGUGGGUUUUUGCAGGUACCGCGGGAAUAAGGACCGGCUAAUUCCGU